GGGGCAUUUGGACAUGGGCGAAAGCCUGAUCCAGCCAUGCCGCGUGAGUGAUGAAGGCCCUAGGGUUGUAAAGCUCUUUCGCGCGGGAAGAUAAUGACGGUACCCGGUAGAAUAAGCCCCGGCUAACUUCGUUGCCAGCAGCCGCGGGUAA
rnacentral:rRNA from 1 species